ACCGCUGCCGUCAAGGAUCAAUUAAGCAAAAUGAUAACCAGCAGUAUGAUAGCUCUGUGGCUGAUGACUUUCAAGUAAAUGAUGAGCACAAGCAAACAGACGUUGAUAUUGAGCUAGAGAAUCUUAUAUUUGAAUGCAGAGGACUUUUGGCUUCAGAGAAAGAGGAUGCCAAGAAAUGGUCUGAUCGCAUGGAAGAGCUUCAUUCUCUUUGGGAAAAUAAUAGAUCUACCAUAUUCGAAACCUUGAUCCAAUGUGAAUCAGUUGAUAAAGGCACACCAUGCUUCAAUUGUGGGGAAUCUCCAGGCUUGAUAAAGUGUCCUCAGUGUGGUAGUAACUGGCCAGUCUGUGUUGAAUGUGAUAGGAAAAUUCAUGAAAGAAAGCCAUUCCAUGAUAGACAUGGGUGGAUGGGUAAUCAUUUCAGACCACUUCAGCCAUCACAUUCAUUGGA